AGGCAUGUGCACGCCCUGCUCAUCCACUCUACACCUGUGCACUUACUGUAGGUUUGGCGUGGGCUUUCGGGGCCUUCACGGGCUUUGAGAGCAUUCUGCCCGCCUAUGUAUCACUAUAAACACUACAAAGUAACAGAAUGUAAUCGCGUCUAACGCAUCUUAAUACAACUUUCAGCAACGGAUCUCUUGGCUCUCGCAUCGAUGAAGAACGCAGCGAAAUGCGAUAAGUAAUGUGAAUUGCAGAAUUCAGUGAAUCAUCGAAUCUUUGAACGCACCUUGCGCUCCUUGGUAUUCCGAGGAGCAUGCCUGUUUGAGUGUCAUGGUAUUCUCAACCCACACAUCCUUGUGAUGCUUGUGAGGCUUGGACUUGGAGGCUUGCUGGCCCAUCGCGGUCGGCUCCUCUUGAAUGCAUUAGCUUGGUUCCUUGCGGAUCGGCUCUCAGUGUGAUAAUUGUCUACGCUGUGACCGUGAAGCGUUUGGCGAGCUUCUAACCGUCCUGCUAGGGACAACUUACUUGACAUCUGACCUCAAAUCAGGUAG
rnacentral:rRNA from 1 species